UCUGGUUCCAACAAAAUAAAUUGCAAGUUUAUUGGUGCUAAAAUAGCUGGGG
rnacentral:tRNA from 1 species